rnacentral:lncRNA from 1 species
ACGCAGAUCUUUGUGAAGACCCUCACGGGCAAGACCAUCACUCUUGACGUCAAGCCAAGUGACACCAUUGAGAAUGUCAAAGCCAAAAUUCAAGACAAGGAGGUAUCCCACCUGACCAGCAGCAUCUGAUACUUGCUGGCAAACAGCUGGAGGAUGGCCGAACUCUCUCAGACUGCAACAUCUGGAAAGAGUCCACCCUGCACCUGGUGCUGCGCCUGUAAGGUGGCAUUAUUGAGCCUUCCCUCUGCCAGCUCUCCCAGAAAUACAACUGUGACAAGAUGAUCUGCCGCAAGUGCUAUGCUUGCCUGCACCCCCGUGCUGUCAACUGCUGCAAGAGGUGUGACCACACCAACAACCUGUAACCCAAGAAG